ensembl:lncRNA
CCCCGCAGCUCAUUGGGGUACACCUUACAGCUAACGGGUACAGCCUGCAGCUCAUUGGGGUACAACGGGGAGCUAACUGGGGUGCAACCCACGGCUAAAUGGGGUACACCCUGACAACUAACCAGGGUACAGCCUGCAGCUCAUUGGGGUACACCCCACUAAUAGAGGUACACCCCGCAGCUCAUUGGGGUACACCUUACAGCCCAUUAGGGUGCACUCACAGCCCAUUGGGGUACACCCACAGCCCAUUGGGGUACACCUUACAGCCCAUUCGGGUACACUGCACAGCCCAUUGGGGUGCACUCACAGCCAAUAGGGGUGCACCCCAUAGCUAAUAGAGGUACACCUGCAGCCCAUUGGGGUACACCCACAGCCCAUUGGGGUGCACUCACAGCUCACUGGGGUACACCCACAGCUAAUAGGGGUGCACUCACAGCCCAUUGGGGUAUACUCACAGCCAAUAGGGGUUCACUCACAGCCCAUAGGGGUGCACUCACAGCUCACUGGGGUACACCCACAGCCUAUUGGGGUACACCCACAGCCCAUUGCGGUGCACUCACAGCUCACUGGGGUACACCCACAGCUAAUAGGGGUGCACUCACAGCCCAUUGGGGUAUACUCACAGCCAAUAGGGGUACACCCACAGCCCAUUGGGGUGCACUCACAGCCAAUAGGGGUCCACCCACAGCCCAUUGGGGUGCACUCACAGCUAAUAGGGGAACACCCACAGCCCAUUGGGGUGCACUCACAGCCCAUAGGAGUGCACUCACAGCCCAUAGGGGUGCACCCACAGCUCAUUGGGGUCCACCCACAGCCCAUUGGGGUGCACCCACAGCCCAUAGGAGUGCACUCACAGCCAAUAGGGGUACACCCACAGCCCAUAGGAGUACACUCACAGCCCAUAGGGGUGCACCCACAGCCCAUAUGGGCACACGUCACCGCGGAGCAGAGCGUGGCUGUGCCACCCGUGGGACAAACAGAGCCACGUGAGGAGCAAAGGACAAUGAGGGCACAACCGCAGCCCUUCCUCCUCC